rnacentral:lncRNA from 1 species
GAUGGCCCUUGUUUUUUUGAAUUUCUUUUUAUUUUCUGAUUUUAUGUUUAAUCCUUUUAUUUUAUUUUAUUCAUAUAAAUUUCAUUUUUAAUCCAAAAAAUAUGGGACUUUCAACAAAAAUAUUUAAAUAUUUUCCUCUUCCAUAUUUUGAAUUAAAAUCAUUUUUUGGAUUAAUUUUGAUAUUUUUUGUGAAUUUAAUGAUUUUUGACUUGUUUUAAAAUAUUUUAAAAUACUUCUGGCUUUCCAAAAAUUUUAAUUUUUUUUGUCUAAGGUCCUUU